AUUAGCAUGUGUCAAUCACAGGCUCUAUAAAUAGCGAAUCUAAUUGCACAUCAGACCAUAAUUCUUCUGGAAGCAAAAAAGCACAACUCAUCUAUCAAGGACCUCUUUCCAGUAAAGAAGCUUAAAGAAUGGCCAAGAAAAUUCUGUUGAUAUUGGUAUUGUGCAUGGCCUCGGUUUUCCUGUCGAAUGGCGUGGAAGUCAAGAUCAGGGCCACUCCAUGCCAUUGUGGUGGUCAUUAUAUGGGUACGUCUCUAGACCCAAGACAUCAUAAAGGGGAUUAUUGGUUUUGGAGAGGUUCCUGCCCGGGUGGACAUGGCUACAAACAAUCUUGCAGUCUUGGCUUGGAUAUUUGUUGUUUCCCAAGAACUUGAUAACAGGUUAUAGACAAACUGAAGUUAACUAAAAGCUCAGUAGUUCAAAAAAGAAAAGAUAAAUUGGUCAAAUGAAUAGUGAUUAAUUCAAAGAUUAAAACUGAAAUGUCUUCAGAGUGA